rnacentral:misc_RNA from 1 species
AAAAAAAUUGUGCUUAUUUCGUUGUUAUUUGACAAUGAAAAUGUAAUACAACAAACAAAUUAUACACUACCAAGAGUAUAGUACAUAAAUAAAUCAUAACAUAGUAAACAAAUCAGUGUGAAACUUCAUCAAAAGUACCUCACAACCAAACAUAAUUUGAACCUUCACACACGAAGGAGCUGCGUAAACCAGGUGGACAUGAAACUCAACACCACCAUUGUACAUACAGAUGAAAACAGAGCAACAGCAGAGGACACCGGUAGAGACUGCGUAGGCGAAAACGGCAUAUAAAGAGGUCCAGGAGCAAUCAUAGCAUCAGGAUUAGGAGGGCUAGGGGUAGAAGGAAUUAAGGGUAAUGAAGAAUCAGUAGGAGCAAGCUCAGAGCCACCUGGUGAAGGAAAAAGAGGACUUAUAUCAGGAGACAGAGCAGGUGGAUUUGGUAACAAUGCAGGGGCAGCUGAAAUUGAAGAAGAUGGUGAUAUGUGUAAGGCUAGUGAUAAAGAAAAAAAAUUAAUAACAACACAAAUUAAGAAAAAUCUUGUAGAUAUUGAAGUGGAAGCCAUUAAUGUUAGUGAUAAUUUUGGAAUGAAGGAGAGGGAGUUGGUGUUAUGAUUGAAGGAUAAUUG